rnacentral:piRNA from 1 species
UCUAUCCUAGAGUUCCGGGACCCCAA